GAAAAGUCCGCUCCGUACAGCUGCAUCCGAUGAAGGGUUGUACGGAGC
rnacentral:ncRNA from 1 species